AUGCUUAAUUUGCAACAAAGGACCUGCUCUCCAUGCAGUGACAUUUGUGAGGCGGUUUCAAGUGUUUUGUCCGUGCCUGCACAGUGUCUGAGAAAGAACCGAUAUCUCGAGAGUUCACAGUUUGGUCCUUGUUGGCAAACACAUUUGGCCCUUACUGGUUACACUUCUGCUUCUAAAUCAUUAGUGAUGCCUCUCAGGACUCAUUGGUCUUUACCAAAUUGGUCCGACCUGUUGGUUGUCGAAUGUCGCCAAAGAAAACAAUGGAAGAAGAAUGGAAGCAAGAAUGAACAAGAAUGA